CAUUGUCCGUGUUACCCUUUCAGCUCUCCAGAUCUUUCCGCAACACACAACCAACGAACAAAACCUUCUUUCACUUUCUCUAUCUUGUUCCCAAAUCUAUCUUCUCUCUCUCUAUAUAACAUAUUAACAUCGCAUCUCUUUCUCAUAUAAAAGAACCGUUCUUUCGAAUCCUUCCCGCUUUCUCCACUCUCUCUUACACUCCCCUCCUCAAUUAAGUUUCAAUUUUUCAAGAUUUGUAGAUUCUCGUCUACCCCUAACCUUAAUCCGAACCUAAUUUUGCCCUCAAAGGGUACAUGGCUGACCAAGGAUUGGAGGGUAGCCAACCAGUGGAUCUGACCAAGCACCCUUCUGGGAUUGUGCCUACCCUUCAAAAUAUUGUAUCAACGGUCAAUUUGGACUGUAAGUUGGAUCUUAAAACGAUUGCACUUCAAGCUCGUAAUGCAGAGUACAAUCCCAAGCGUUUCGCUGCUGUGAUUAUGAGGAUCAGAGAACCAAAAACAACUGCCCUCAUUUUUGCUUCUGGCAAGAUGGUGUGUACUGGAGCGAAGAGUGAGCAACAGUCUAAAUUGGCCGCAAGGAAGUAUGCUCGAAUUAUCCAGAAGCUUGGUUUCCCGGCCAAGUUUAAGGAUUUCAAGAUUCAGAAUAUUGUUGGCUCUUGUGAUGUCAAGUUCCCCAUAAGACUUGAGGGUCUUGCAUAUUCCCAUGGUGCUUUCUCAAGUUACGAACCAGAGCUGUUUCCGGGGCUAAUUUACCGUAUGAAGCAGCCUAAGAUAGUCUUGCUUAUAUUUGUCUCUGGGAAAAUUGUGCUAACAGGUGCCAAGGUGAGAGAUGAGACUUACACAGCAUUCGAGAACAUAUAUCCCGUGCUUACUGAGUUCAGGAAAAACCAACAAUGAGAUAUUGGACUCUACAAUUUAACAUUUCUUGCUUUCUAGCAAAUUUUCCAGAAAAAAGAUUUUUUUUCAAGGGAAGGAGCAAAGUGCCACUAAAGGAAUGAUGUUCCAUGGAAAUGUAAAUAACAAGACAAAAAGAAAAAAAAAAGGAACAUCUGGAUUGAUAUUAGUUAAGACCCAUUUGUUUUAGUUGUUUCUCUGUUUUGAAUGUUCUAGUAAAGUGAAGCACAUUGUUCUAUUCUAAUUGAAAUUUCAAAACAAAA